AGAGUUUGAUCCUGGCUCAGGAUGAACGCUAGCGGCAGGCCUAAUACAUGCAAGUCGGACGGGAUUGAGGAGCUUGCUCUUCAUGAGAGUGGCGCACGGGUGCGUAACACGUAUGUAACCUACCCAUAUCAGGGGGAUAGCCUCUCGAAAGAGAGAUUAAGCCCGCAUAAAAUCAGAUUAUGGCAUCAUAGACUGAUCAAAUAUUUAUAGGAUAUGGAUGGGCAUGCGGAACAUUAGCUAGUUGGUAAGGUAACGGCUUACCAAGGCUACGAUGUUUAGGGGAUCUGAGAGGAUGACCCCCCACACUGGUACUGAGACACGGACCAGACUCCUACGGGAGGCAGCAGUAAGGAAUAUUGGUCAAUGGACGGAAGUCUGAACCAGCCAUGCCGCGUGCAGGAAGACGGCCCUACGGGUUGUAAACUGCUUUUGUACCGGAAUAAACCUCGAUUCGUGAAUCGAGCUGAAUGUACGGUAAGAAUAAGGAUCGGCUAACUCCGUGCCAGCAGCCGCGGUAAUACGGAGGAUCCGAGCGUUAUCCAGAUUUAUUGGGUUUAAAGGGUGCGUAGGCGGCCUAUUAAGUCAGGGGUGAAAGACGGUAGCUUAACUAUCGCAGUGCCUUUGAUACUGAUAGGCUUGAAUGUACUUGAGGUAGGCGGAAUGUGACAAGUAGCGGUGAAAUGCAUAGAUAUGUCACAGAACACCAAUUGCGAAGGCAGCUUACUAAAGUAUGAUUGACGCUGAGGCACGAAAGCGUGGGGAUCAAACAGGAUUAGAUACCCUGGUAGUCCACGCCCUAAACGAUGAACACUCGAUGUUGGCGAUAUACGGUCAGCGUCUAAGCGAAAGCGUUAAGU
rnacentral:rRNA from 1 species